rnacentral:rRNA from 1 species
CGGACGGGUGAGUAACGCGUGGGUAACCUGCCUUGUACUGGGGGACAACAGUUAGAAAUGACUGCUAAUACCGCAUAAGCGCACAGUAUCGCAUGAUACAGUGUGAAAAACUCCGGUGGUACAAGAUGGACCCGCGUCUGAUUAGCUAGUUGGUAAGGUAACGGCUUACCGAGGCGACGAUCAGUAGCCGACCUGAGAGGGUGACCGGCCACAUUGGGACUGAGACACGGCCCAA